rnacentral:rRNA from 1 species
GAAGGGGGCAAGCGUUGUUCGGAAUUACUGGGCGUAAAGGGCGCGUAGGCGGUCUGGUCAGUCAGGCGUGAAAGCCCCGGGCUCAACCUGGGAGGUGCGUCUGAGACGGCUGGGCUUGAGGUCGGAAGAGGGUGGUGGAAUUCCCAGUGUAGAGGUGAAAUUCGUAGAUAUUGGGAAGAACACCAGUGGCGAAGGCGGCCACCUGGUCCGCACCUGACGCUGAGGCGCGAAAGCGUGGGGAGCAAACAGGAUUAGAUACCCUGGUAGUCCACGCCGUAAACGAUGCACGCUAGACGUCGGGGGGCUUGCCCUUCGGUGUCGCAGCCAACGCGGUAAGCGUGCCGCCUGGGGAGUACGGCCGCAAGGUUA